AAUAGAUACCCAGGUAGUCCACGCCGUAAACGAUGAGUGCUAAGUGUUAGAGGGUUUCCGCCCUUUAGUGCUGCAGCUAACGCGUUAAGCACUCCGCCUGGGGAGUACGGCCGCAAGGCUGAAACUCAAAGGAAUUGACGGGGGCCCGCACAAGCGGUGGAGCAUGUGGUUUAAUUCGAAGCAACGCGAAGAACCUUACCAGGUCUUGACAUCCCCUGCCAACCCUAGAGAUAGGGCGUUCCCCUUCGGGGGACAGAGUGACAGGUGGUGCAUGGUUGUCGUCAGCUCGUGUCGUGAGAUGUUGGGUUAAGUCCCGCAACGAGCGCAACCCUUGAUCUUAGUUGCCGGCAUUUAGUUGGGCACUCUAAGGUGACUGCCGGUGACAAACCGGAGGAAGGUGGGGAUGACGUCAAAUCAUCAUGCCCCUUAUGACCUGGGCUACACACGUGCUACAAUGGAUGGUACAAAGAGCUGCGAACCCGCGAGGGUAAGCGAAUCUCAUAAAGCCAUUCUCAGUUCGGAUUGUAGGCUGCAACUCCG
rnacentral:rRNA from 1 species